UACGGAGGGUGCAAGCGUUAUCCGGAUUUACUGGGUUUAAAGGGUGCGCAGGCGGAUAUGUAAGUCAGUGGUGAAAUCUCUGGGCUUAACCCGGAAAUUGCCAUUGAUACUAUAUAUCUUGAAUGCUGUGGAGGUAAGCGGAAUAUGUCAUGUAGCGGUGAAAUGCUUAGAUAUGACAUAGAACACCUAUUGCGAAGGCAGCUUACUACGCAGAUAUUGACGCUCAUGCACGAAAGCGUGGGGAUCAAACAAG
rnacentral:rRNA from 1 species